CCGCUGGUCCGCCGAGGGAGGCGGCGAGCGGACUACAACGCCCACAAUGCCGCAUGCCGGAAGGCGGCUGUAAACUGCCGCGCGCAAGAGGGCGAAAGGUGGGCUCCGCCUGAGGACUGUCAAAGACAUCGGAGAGACGCCACCUUGAUCUAUCCUGCUGCCUGCUGCUGGAGAGUCUCCCCUGAAAUCCUGACCCUAGAAUUGGAGACUGUGGUUAGAGACUGGAUCCAACCUUCAGCUAAGAUAUGUGACAGAUGGCCCAGCAGUUAAGAGCACUGGCUGCUCUUCCAGAGGACCCCAAGUUCCAUUCCCAGCUUCCACACAGCAGCUCACAAUCAUUUGUAACUACAGUUCCAGGAGACCCGGUACCCUCCAUCAGGUGUGCCCAGCCACUUUGGUUUUAGUUGAUUCCAGCCAUAUAGUCAAGUUGACAACUAAGAUUAGCCAUCACAUGGACUGUUACCUGGAAGUAUAAGAUGAAUAAAUUCUUUCCUCCCCA